rnacentral:rRNA from 1 species
UACGGAGGUGGCAAGCGUUGUUCGGAAUUACUGGGCGUAAAGAGUGUGUAGGCGGUGUUCUAAGUCUGGUGUGAAAUCUCCCGGCUCAACUGGGAGGGUGCGCUAGAAACUGGAAUGCUAGAGGAUGGGAGAGGUAAGCGGAAUUCCUGGUGUAGCGGUGGAAUGCGCAGAUAUCAGGAGGAACACCGGUGGCGAAGGCGGGUCUCUGGGCCAUUACUGACGCUGAGGAGCGAAAGCGUGGGGAGCGAACAGG